AACUUUGCGCAGAGGCAAUAUCGUAACCAAUGAGGUUAAUCCGAGGUGCGAUUAUUGCUAGUUGAAAACUUUACCAAGGGGCUAUUCAUAAAUUACGUCAUUUCAAAUUAGGGGGGGGGGGGGUCUGGACAUCGGAUGACGGUAGCAUGAAGUAGGAGGAAAUGGGGUCAUUUGAAGCAUGAUUUUUGGAUGAUUAUAGGGGGGGGGGGGUCAAAAAU